rnacentral:rRNA from 1 species
UACGGGGGGAGCAAGCGUUGUUCGGAUUUACUGGGCGUAAAGGGCGCGUAGGCGGUCGUGACAAGUCAUCUGUGAAAUCUCCGGGCUUAACUCGGAACGGUCAAGUGAUACUGUCGGACUAGAGUACAGAAGGGGCAACUGGAAUUCUCGGUGUAGCGGUGAAAUGCGUAGAUAUCGAGAGGAACACCUGCGGCGAAGGCGGGUUGCUGGGCUGAUACUGACGCUGAGGCGCGAAAGCCAGGGGAGCGAACGGG